rnacentral:lncRNA from 1 species
GGCUUGAUGGCUACUGCUCUCACCACAGAGCCGGCCACUCAGUGUCCUAGCGAUGCCGCUGCCCCUGCCAGGGCUGCCAGAAGAACUUUGAGGAAAAGGAUAGACAUUCCUGCAGCUUCAGUUGAUGAGAUUGCUUCAGUGUGACUUCUGAGUCCUGAGUGACUGCAGCUGCUCUGAAAGUCAUGAAGAGCCAUAGCUACUUCAACUCAGCCCUCGCGGCCCAGAUCAGUUAGUCUGCCCUUGGAAGCCUUCACGUUUCUCAGGUUAUUACUCUGGGACUGCGAUGAUCGAAGCUACAGCUACUAUGUUGAGGUUUCCACCAAUCAGCAGCAGUGGACCAUGGUGGCCGACAGAACGAAAGUGUCCUGCAAGUCCUGGCAGUCAGUCACUUUUGAAAGACAGCCUGCAUCCUUCAUCCGAAUCGUCGGGACACACAACACAGCAAAUGAGGUGUUCCACUGUGUCCACUUUGAGUGUCCGGAGCAGCAGAGCAACCAGAAGGAGGACAGCAGUGAGGAGCCAGGGACAGGGGACCCCAGCACCCCCAAUCAGCAGCUCGACCCUCAUGCACCACGGGCACCCAGCGCCAGCUCACUACCACCGAGUCCAGGCCCUAACUCACGCUCACCCAACCAACAGAACCAAUAAAGCAGGCAGAGGAUGUAGUGUUACUCAGGUGGGCCUGGAUGGAGCUGUGUCCUCUCCCGCCCCUGGGAGGAACAGGUCUGGCUGCAGAACUCACCCCAACCAGGUUUUUUCCAUCCGGGGACAGAAAGGUGCCUGUGUUCCCCCCACUCCUCAAGCAGUCUCCAGGGGGAGGAAGAGGGUCUUGAUUCUUCAAGCCUACCAUCAAUCCCUACCUCUAAUCUAACCCAGGUACCAGCGCUGAAGGAAUCUACAAACAGGCCCAAGCUGGCAUGAUUUAAAAAAAAAAAAAAGAAGAAGAAGAAGAAGAAGAAGAAGAAAGUACCCCAGGCCUUGACAAAACCAGAAGAGAGCCCAGCCCCUCCAGCCUGGAGGCCCCAGCCCCGGGUGUCCCUGCUGCAGCUCGCUACUUAGGGUUUGUAGUUCUGCAGGUUUUCUACACCAGCUAAAUCGGGGUGGUUGAAGGCUUGUGGAUUGCACUGGCCCUCUACAAAGGUCUUCCUCAGUCUCCAGUGCUUGCCCGUGGGCAGAGCAAAAGCUUGCCCCUCCUAAAAGAGACCAGAUGUAGCCCAUCGUGGCACCGGCCUGCCAAGGAAAAUCCUUGAGUUCAGCGAGACACACACUGUGCAGAUCAAUCUGUGGACACGGGAAUUACUACCGACCAGAGUGCCGGCCACUCUGUUAGCCUCUUCCUGACGGUUACCUGGGAGGCAGCGUGUAAGCAGUUACCACGCCAGCUGCUGAGAACGACCCCAAAGCCCAUGUCAACAGAUACUUGCCCAGGCCAAGGCUGACGCUUCUGGGCCUCGUGGUUCAGCUGCCCUUGAACUUGGAUCAGCCAACGGAUGGUGUGUCAGGAGCACAGGCCUGGGACGAACUGCAAGUCUCCCACCUGGCAUAGCUCAGAGCAGGUCUUGGGCACUUCCAGUUUUGACCACUGCAGCUCCACUCAGUUCCUCUGUCCCUCCUGUGGCUUCCAUGAACAGCUCCAGCCUCUGCACCUCUAAGCACCAUCCCAAGGCCCCAUGUCCUGUUAGCAUGCUCAGAGGAGGACAAGGCUAGUCGGUCAGCCAGCUUUCUGAGUUCUCAUUGGAAUGGCUGGUCCACAUGGAAGAGGCCUCCGCUGCAGUGGAAGCCAUCUUCCUGUGAGUUCAGGCUUAGGGUGGCAGAGCUGGUGCCCAGGGAGACUAGUCAGCAGUCUGAACCUCUGGCUUCAUUUUGCUGUGUGGUGUGGCUGCCUUUGGUAGGGAGGUUUCCAUGGAUGUAGCCAGCGUGUAGCUAUUGUGUGUGGGGCAGCAUCCAGCCUGGAGUUGCCAGUGUCUCUAGCAAGCAAUACUCCCUGCCAGCGCAUUAGGAACCCCAGUCCUGUGGAUGAUGGAGUUUGUCGCUUUUGGAAGAUAAGUGUGAGAGCUUGUUAGUUUUGUUGGUCAUUUGCUUAAGGUAGAUCCUCCUCCUAUAGCCCAGGUUAGUCACACUCAUGGCAGUCCUCCUAUGUUACCACCCCGAGUUCUGAGCUUAUGGGUAUGAGAUAGCACACGCUGCCACAAAACAUUUUUGUAAAGACAGAAGACAAGAUGCAGGCCCAGGUCUGGAGUCCAGCAGCUUCCUGGGGCAGUGGGUCUGAGUUGGCAAGAAGUCCCUGGUGUCUACCCCAAAACGUCACCACACACGUGUCAUGCUAGGUGCUGGGCACUCAGUCCUCUCUGCAGUCUCAUUUCCCAUCUGGCUAGCCCAGACCAUCAUCAGAGACCCACACCUUGUGGCUUCCUUUCUGCCUUCAGACCCCCAGUGACUGUGCAUUCAGGUUGUAAGACGUUAGAGCUGGUUACCUUCAAUGUGCAUGCUGCCAUGGUGCCCUCAGAUACUUGGGAGGGGAGAUGUGACAGCAAAGUCACCGUGGCCGGAAGUGGGGAAUGGGGGUCCAUUCAGAGAAGCAUGGCAAGCCCUUGGUCACCUGGGCUGAUUCCAAGGCUAUCCUUGGGACAAAGCCUUUCUUGGAUUGACACCUGCUCAGGAUGCAGGAGGACGCUUAUCUCCCACUAGACACAGGAGUGUACCUUCCGUUGGCUGCUGGGCAUGGGAUGUGCCUAGAUGUCACAGCCAAGGGUGUCCUUGCAACAUCUAAGGUGAGGUCCAUGUUUCCAGGGGACAGCGAUGAGCUAGAGCCUGCCUUGUCCCCUGCAGGAUUAUCCUGAGCCAACAGACUGCAAGUGACUCUUGAGUGCUGAGCUGAGCAGAAGCGCUAACAGUCAUGCAGGGUUGAACUGGGGGACCCCAUGCACCAUACAGGGUGAUUUUGACUCUAAGGACCCUUUGGGUGCCAGGAAGGGCCACAGUCAAACUAUGGGAGGCUGAAGCAGUGUGAACUGUUGUUCCCCCAGCCCUGCCCUUGCUCCUAAAGGCAACUGUGGAUGUGACCAUUGUGGGCUCAGCUUGGAGAGUGUGGCUCCCACCUGAAGCCUCAUGCCACCUGUGGAAUGGUACCUGCUUCUAGGUACAGAGCCUCCUGCCCUUUGAUCAUGUUCUCUAGGAUGGCAGAUGUCAUCACUGGGGCUUUGAGAAGUGUUCGGUCUCACCCAUAAGGACUCCCUGGGAACAACUGGGAUGCUGGACAGGUUGGGCUGUGGGGUAGGUGGGUUGGAGGGUAGCUGCUCUCUGCACAGCAGCUUUAAGCAGCCACAGAGGUAGUCUUGCGCUUAGGCUCAGAGUUUCCUAAGCCCUUGGUACUACUUCUGAUCUUGGAGGGGCUGCAAGCCCAUGGUAGAUGUGGGUCCUUCUCAAUGGCUCUUCCAGCUGUCACUUUUCCAGUCUUAUUAAAUGAAGUGUUGAUUCCUG